UUGUGUUUUGAAUUUAGUUAAGUAUGGUCACUUGAGAAGUGCAUUAGUGAGUCGAAAAUGUUUAAGUGUAGUUACUUGAAAGGUGAGCUUGUGUUUUGAAUAUAGUGAAGUGAAUAUAGUGAAGUGUGGUCACUUGAGAAGUGAGUUAGUGACUUGAAAAUGUUUAAGUAUAGGUACUAGAAAUGUGAACUUGUGUUUUGAAUUUAGUUAAGUGUGGUCACUUGAGAAGUGCAUUAGUGAGUCAAAAAUGUUUAAGUGUAGGUACUUGAAAUGUGAACUUGUGUUUUGAAGUUUGUUAAGUGUGGUCACUUGAGAAUUGCAUUAUUGAGUUGAAAAUAUUUUAAGUGUAGUUACUUGAAAGGUGGGUUUGUGUUUUGAAUAUAGUGACUCAAAAAUGUUUUAAUAUGAGUUGAGGGCUUUGGCAUGAUUGAUUCUUAAAUUAUUUUCCAUGAUUUAUUAUUCUUGUUUUUUGCUUUGUUAAUGGUUUUGAACUUGUGGGAUGCAUGGGUAUGGUGAAUAAACUAAGGGGUCAUGGUUUUCCCCAAUUUAAUGAUUUUGACUUGGCAUAUGGUUUUUGAAAUAGCGUCCCCUCAUCCUAUUUGUAGAAUUAAUAAUGAAAUAUAAUUUUGUCACAUGGUUUG
rnacentral:lncRNA from 1 species